rnacentral:rRNA from 1 species
AACGUAGGGGGCCAGCGUUGCUCGGAAUUACUGGGCGUAAAGGGUCUGUAGGCGGUGCGGCAAGUCGGAAGUGAAAUCUCAGGGCUUAACUCUGGGGCUGCUCCCGAAACUGCCGUGCUCGAGUGUGAGAGAGGCGAGUGGAAUUGCAGGUGUAGCGGUGAAAUGCGUAGAUAUCUGCAGGAACAUCCGAGGCGAAAGCGGCUCGCUGGAUCACAACUGACGCUGAGAGACGAAAGCUAGGGGAGCAAACAGG